CUGAGGGGAGAGAUUCCUCAGGGGGACUGUGUAGGAAGCUAUUCCUAGUGGUGCCUCCUUGGGAACAGAGGCUCAGAGAGAGAGGAACAGUCCCCAAGCAUAUUGUUUUGGACCUGCUGCUAUCAGAACAACCAAUGACAUUGGAGAGUGACAUGGGAAUGCAAUGCUGACUACAGCGAUGGUCAAAUCCUAGAAGUCUUCAUUCAGAAUUUCCUGGAAGAAUUGAUGGGAGAGGCAGAGGACUCAGAUCUUUUGGAGUCAUCUUGGCAGUGUGCUCUUUAUAGAUGACUGCUAGAAAAGAGAGACAAGGUGGGUGAGGUAAUCUCUCUCUCUCUUUUUUUUUUUUUUUUUUUUAAUGGACCAACUUCUGUUGGUGAGAGAGAAGCUUUUGAGCAUACACAGAGCUCUUCUUCAGGUCAGAGAAACUUACUCAGAGUGUCACAGCUAAAUACAAGAUGAAACAGUUUGUUUAGCAUAAGUAGUUAACACACAUUUCAAGGGACUAUUCAAGGCGAAGUGGCCCAUAAAGUCAUAGAGUGGCUGGGGGGGAGGUUGUUAGUCAGUUAUAGAUUGUUGUAAUAGGCCAUAGAUCCAGUGUGUCUAUUCAGCCAAGAUUUUUAUUGUCUAGCAAAAUUAUGAAUUUAAGUUCCCAGGCUCAUUGCUAUUGGGGCAUUUAGUGCAUUGGAUGAGGUACACCGCAUGUUGAGAGGCAUGUGUAGGACCCAUGGAUCUCGAAAGGUGCGCUGUGGGAUGUUGAUCAUUACAGCAGUGGAGAUAUGUCUGCAGGUUUGGCAUCUGUUGUUCUGUCAGGUUCUGGUGCUGCUUUGUAUUUCUGUGUCCUGGUCUGUGACGAGCUUGCUUCUGAUGAUGAGCUUGGAGAGGUCGAGGAGUUGUUUGUUUGAAGGCCAGAAGAGGGGGUUGAGGAAAGAUUUCUUUCAGGAUGAAUAGCAAUUCUGGUGGUGAAACCAUACAAUCACUACACUCUUGAAUGAACUUGCCCAGGAAAAUGAUAAAAGACAAAAACACCCUAUCACCUGUGAGUAAACACUUUUCACAAAGCAGUCACUCUAGAUCUGACCUAUUAGUCCUCAACCUCAAAGGAAACCUGCACAGCACAUUCAAAAGACGAGCCUGGGGGCUUAAAUUCAUAACUUUGCUGGACACUAAAAAUCAUGGACUGAACAGAGACGCUGGAUUUAUGGUUUAUUACAACAAUCUGUAACUCACUAGCACCCUCCCCAGGGGCUUCCUCUCCCUCCUUCGUUUCCUCCCUGUGUCUGAAG